AAGUCGUAACAAGGUUUCCGUAGGUGAACCUGCGGAAGGAUCAUUAUUGAAUUUAAUGUAGAGUUGGUUGUAGCUGGCUCCCUUGGAUUAAUUUCUUUGGGGGCAUGUGCACGCCUUCUCUUUCAUCCCACACACACCUGUGAACCUGUGAGAUAGUAGUUUGGGGACUUUAAUGGACCCACUUCUGUCUACUUAAUUCAUAUAAAAUCAAUUUAAUUUAAAACGAAUGUAAUGGAUGUAACGCAUCUAAUACUAAGUUUCAACAACGGAUCUCUUGGCUCUC
rnacentral:misc_RNA from 1 species